AUGUUCACCUUUAUAUUCAUGUGUAUGUGGAUUUCACUAGGUGACUCUAUGGCAGAUCCAGUAAAGCCACUUUUUGCAGAUAAAAGUGUAACUGAAGUUGAAACUGUUACUCUGUCCUGCAGCUACAAAGACUUCACUCAGAAUGUAGGGAACUUGCACUGGUACCGGCAAUAUCCAAAAUCUAAACCAGAGUUCCUUCUUUACAUCUAUCCAGAUGGAUCUCUGAGUGAAAGCAUUCCACCCGGUUUAUCUGCUGAUGUUCAUAAAGACAUUAAACAAGUGGAUCUGAACAUCUCCUCUGCUGCAGUAUCAGACUCUGCAAUAUAUUACUGUGCACUGACGCCCACAGUGACAGGAAACACAGCUGCACUGUACAAAAACUUUAACACAGUUAUGUUAUUCCAGCUAAACUGGUUUUCCUCUAUUUUCCUCUCUCUCAUUUUCAUACUUUACCAUGGGGGAGUGAAAUGUAACAAACUGGAAAAAGAAACCAAAAUUUGA